rnacentral:rRNA from 1 species
GAUGAACGCUGGCGGCGUGCCUAAUACAUGCAAGUCGAGCGAACGGACGAGAAGCUUGCUUCUCUGAUGUUAGCGGCGGACGGGUGAGUAACACGUGGAUAACCUACCUAUAAUACUGGGAUAACUUCGGGAAACCGGAGCUAAUACCGGAUGAUAUUUUGAACCGCAUGGUUCAAAAGUGAAAGACGGUCUUGCUGUCACUUAUAGAUGGAUCCGCGCUGCAUUAGCUAGUUGGUAAGGUAACGGCUUACCAAGGCAACGAUGCAUAGCCGACCUGAGAGGGUGAUCGGCCACACUGGAACUGAGACACGGUCCAGACUCCUACGGGAGGCAGCAGUAGGGAAUCUUCCGCAAUGGGCGAAAGCCUGACGGAGCCACGCCGCGUGAGUGAUGAAGGUCUUCGGAUCGUAAAACUCUGUUAUUAGGGAAGAACAUAUGUGUAAGUAACUGUGCACAUCUUGACGGUACCUAAUCAGAAAGCCACGGCUAACUACGUG